rnacentral:lncRNA from 1 species
GAAAAAUGGAUACGACUGGAGAAAAAAUCCCCGCGGAAUUUCAACACCCCUUUUGUCUUAUCCUCCUAAUUGGGGGCUUCUGCGUUCAAUGGUGGAGGUCCCAUGCGUGGGGGGGGCCCCGUUUUCAAGUUGUGGGGCCCCAAAGUUUGGACUGGGAAUCACGUUUUUUGCGAUUUUCUGCAAACCUUUUAGAGAUAAUAGGAUAUUUUGGACGAUUAUAGACUUAUGUUGUCAUUCCGAAUCGAAUGCGGUCAAUUUAAGUAAGCUGCGACUUGCCUUUGCGAUGUAACGUAGUUUUUCCCGCAUACGGC